rfam:Bacteroidetes bacterium GWE2_42_42 gwe2_scaffold_74, whole genome shotgun sequence.
UGCGCUGUGGAAAGAUUUGAUUGCUUGCAACCACGGUAAAAAAUGCUAAAAAGUAUUUG